UCAUAUAAAGACAGCUCAGCCUCAUCUACGAAGCAUGCUGGCAUGGCCACUAAUAUGUCACACACUACACCAGAUUGCGGAUCACCAUGCAUAUACUCAACAAACCAAAAUAUUACUUUAUGACUACUCAAAAACUGGAAACCUUAACCCCAGAAAAGUCAACCAAUUAUUCAUGAACAAAAAUAGAAGAAAAACAACUAAACAGGACAGAUCUAAUACAGCACAAAAAAGGCAUGGAUAAUACACAUCAAAUCUCUUCUAUUACUACUAGUUUCAGAACCAUUCAUCCAUAAAAUUUAAAGGAAAGUAAGAAAGAAAGAAAGAAGAAAAAGACGCGGUUCUUAUCAUAACUUUUCCCUUUCCCUAUUUGAAGAAAGAAAUUAAUCCGAUAGAUACACAAGAUUGACAUACAAUCACCAUUUUUUCUUUUUCAUAUAUUUUUUAGUUCUUUUCUCUGUCAGUACCACAUUUUAGUUUCCUCUUUUUUUCAGCAUCAAUCCGUUGUCACUGGCUGACUCAUGCAGCACCUGAAACGGGCCUUCCGGACAGUUGUCAUUAUUUCACUCUCCGCAUUCUCCAGC
rnacentral:lncRNA from 1 species